GAUCCCUGUGUGGACGGGGGGAGGAGGGGGGCGCAGAUACCGCCGCGGCUCCGCCGCCGCCCCCCUUCCCCCUGAAUGACGGCCAGACAUGGUGCAUGAGGGAGCCUGGCCUCCGUGCGGUCCGCCCCCAGCCUGGAGGAAAAGAAGCGACGCGGUCCGGAGCAUAGCCCCACUCACCUAGGGGCCAGCCGACCGGACUCCACUCACCUGCCUGCUGAAGACAAAGAUGCCAGGAACAAUGUGGAUGCUAGACACCGAAAGUACUAAGAUGCUCCAGGACAUGAAAUUUGGAUUGAUCAUGGCUAUUCCAUUCUUUGUCCUCCUUGUGUUCCUGGUGGUAUUUGCCGUCAUCCUCUACUGCACGUUUUGCCGCAAAAAGACAGAGACCUGAGAACAUCACAGCCCUGCUAUGAAGUGAAACGUCAGAUUUGAAAAAAAUCGGCCUGGGAUUUAAAGGAUAACUGUCACAUAUUUUUUUUAUUUUAUAUUGGAUUUUGG